rnacentral:rRNA from 1 species
AGAGUUUGAUUAUGGCUCAGGAUGAACGCUAGCUACAGGCUUAACACAUGCAAGUCGAGGGGCAGCAUGAAACUUAGCUUGCUAAGUUUGAUGGCGACCGGCGCACGGGUGAGUAACACGUAUCCAACCUACCGUUUACUACGGGAUAGCCUUCUGAAAAGGAGAUUAAUACCGUAUGGUAUUCUAAAGUUUCAUGACAUUAGAAUUAAAGGUUUACCGGUAAUCGAUGGGGAUGCGUUCCAUUAGAUAGUAGGCGGGGUAACGGCCCACCUAGUCAGCGAUGGAUAGGGGUUCUGAGAGGAGGGUCCCCCACAUUGGAACUGAGACACGGUCCAAACUCCUACGGGAGGCAGCAGUGAGGAAUAUUGGUCAAUGGGCGAGAGCCUGAACCAGCCAAGUAGCGUGAAAGGAUGACUGCCCUAUGGGUUGUAAACUUCUUUUAUAAAGGAAUAAAGUGGUCCACGUGUGGAUUUUUGUAUGUACUUUAUGAAUAAGGAUCGGCUAACUCCGUGCCAGCAGCUGC